UUUAUGGAGAGUUUGAUCCUGGCUCAGGAUGAACGCUGGCGGCGUGCCUAAUACAUGCAAGUCGAGCGAACGGACGAGAAGCUUGCUUCUCUGAUGUUAGCGGCGGACGGGUGAGUAACACGUGGAUAACCUACCUAUAAGACUGGGAUAACUUCGGGAAACCGGAGCUAAUACCGGAUGAUAUUUUGAACCGCAUGGUUCAAAAGUGAAAGACGGUCUUGCUGUCACUUAUAGAUGGAUCCGCGCUGCAUUAGCUAGUUGGUAAGGUAACGGCUUACCAAGGCAACGAUGCAUAGCCGACCUGAGAGGGUGAUCGGCCACACUGGAACUGAGACACGGUCCAGACUCCUACGGGAGGCAGCAGUAGGGAAUCUUCCGCAAUGGGCGAAAGCCUGACGGAGCAACGCCGCGUGAGUGAUGAAGGUCUUCGGAUCGUAAAACUCUGUUAUUAGGGAAGAACAUAUGUGUAAGUAACUGUGCACAUCUUGACGGUACCUAAUCAGAAAGCCACGGCUAACUACGUGCCAGCAGCCGCGGUAAUACGUAGGUGGCAAGCGUUAUCCGGAAUUAUUGGGCGUAAAGCGCGCGUAGGCGGUUUUUUAAGUCUGAUGUGAAAGCCCACGGCUCAACCGUGGAGGGUCAUUGGAAACUGGAAAACUUGAGUGCAGAAGAGGAAAGUGGAAUUCCAUGUGUAGCGGUGAAAUGCGCAGAGAUAUGGAGGAACACCAGUGGCGAAGGCGACUUUCUGGUCUGUAACUGACGCUGAUGUGCGAAAGCGUGGGGAUCAAACAGGAUUAGAUACCCUGGUAGUCCACGCCGUAAACGAUGAGUGCUAAGUGUUAGGGGGGUUCCGCCCCUUAGUGCUGCAGCUAACGCAUUAAGCACUCCGCCUGGGGAGUACGACCGCAAGGUUGAAACUCAAAGGAAUUGACGGGGACCCGCACAAGCGGUGGAGCAUGUGGUUUAAUUCGAAGCAACGCGAAGAACCUUACCAAAUCUUGACAUCCUUUGACAACUCUAGAGAUAGAGCCUUCCCCUUCGGGGGACAAAGUGACAGGUGGUGCAUGGUUGUCGUCAGCUCGUGUCGUGAGAUGUUGGGUUAAGUCCCGCAACGAGCGCAACCCUUAAGCUUAGUUGCCAUCAUUAAGUUGGGCACUCUAAGUUGACUGCCGGUGACAAACCGGAGGAAGGUGGGGAUGACGUCAAAUCAUCAUGCCCCUUAUGAUUUGGGCUACACACGUGCUACAAUGGACAAUACAAAGGGCAGCGAAACCGCGAGGUCAAGCAAAUCCCAUAAAGUUGUUCUCAGUUCGGAUUGUAGUCUGCAACUCGACUACAUGAAGCUGGAAUCGCUAGUAAUCGUAGAUCAGCAUGCUACGGUGAAUACGUUCCCGGGUCUUGUACACACCGCCCGUCACACCACGAGAGUUUGUAACACCCGAAGCCGGUGGAGUAACCUUUUAGGAGCUAGCCGUCGAAGGUGGGACAAAUGAUUGGGGUGAAGUCGUAACAAGGUAGCCGUAUCGGAAGGUGCGGCUGGAUCACCUCCUUUCU
rnacentral:rRNA from 1 species